ACUUAGCGGCGGACGGGUGAGUAACGCGUGGGCAACCUGCCUUACACAGGGGGAUAACAAUUAGAAAUGAUUGCUAAUACCGCAUAAGACCCCAGUACCGCAUGGUACAGAGGUAAAAACUGAGGUGGUGUAAGAUGGGCCCGCGUCUGAUUAGGUAGUUGGUGGGGGUAGAAGCCUACCAAGCCGACGAUCAGUAGCCGACCUGAGAGGGCGACCGGCCACAUUGGGACUGAGACACGGCCCAAACUCCUACGGGAGGCAGCAG
rnacentral:rRNA from 1 species